GAUGAACGCUGGCGGCGUGCCUCAAACAUGCAAGUCGAGCGGGGCUAUGUAAUAUCGCAAGGUAGAACAUAGCCUAGCGGCGAACGGGUGAGUAACACGUGGGUAACCUGCCUGGAAGACAGGGAUAACGAUUCGAAAGGGUCGCUAAUACCUGAUAAUAUCCUUUCAUCGCAUGGUGAUAGGAAGAAAGGGGAAACCCGCUUUCAGAUGGGCCCGCGUCCCAUCAGCUAGUUGGUAAGGUAAAGGCUUACCAAGGCGACGACGGGUAGCCGGUCUGAGAGGAUGUACGGCCACACUGGGACUGAGAUACGGCCCAGACUCCUACGGGAGGCAGCAGUUGGGAAUCUUGGGCAAUGGGCGAAAGCCUGACCCAGCGACGCCGCGUGAGGGAAGAAGGCCUUCGGGUCGUAAACCUCUGUCAUCGGGACGAAGAAAGUGACGGUACCCGAGGAGGAAGCCCCUGCUAACUACGUGCCAGCAGCCGGGUAAUCAUACUCGUA
rnacentral:rRNA from 1 species